GGAUCGGACGGCACUGUGUGCUCUAGGCAGGGACAGCUGAGGGGCCAAUGCCCUGCCGCUCCCAGCCAGAGGAGGAUGCCCCCAUCUGUUCACUGCAUCCUCCAGUGGGAAACAAGCAAAACAAGAGGCAAUGCAUUUGCAGUCACUACAGUAGGAAGAGGUAUUUGCUUUCUACCAGCAGACACACAACCGGUUGGAUGUGGAGAGAAGCGGAUCGGUGGAAGAAGACACAAGCGGCUGGACGUCAAGGGGAGCACACCGACAGAAGAGC
rnacentral:lncRNA from 1 species